rnacentral:lncRNA from 1 species
GGUGGAAGGUCUUUGGUUAGCGACUUGAUCAUAGGUGCCGGUGAGCCUUGGUCAUGGCUACCAGCGACGGCGAAGGCAGGGAAAGAGAGAAGAAGAAGAAGAGAAGCAGGUUGGGUGAUAGUUGAGCUCAAGGAAAAGAACUAGGGAGAAAUCUGUUUGUUUCCGGCAAUCACGCGCAGCCACCAAGGUUCUCACACACGCUCGGGAUUUCAACGAUUACGGUGCGCAGCCAAGAUGGCCAGUCAGCACUUGCCAUCCUGCACGAAUGGGCAUUCCAUGCCGAAAAAUCUGCCUGAAAUUUCUUCCUCUCUCUCUUUCUUUUUUCCCCUCGUGUUGCUAGAUUUCGACGCCCAGCCAAAAUACAGCUGAGGGAAACAUUUGAUGGUCCACGAUACCAUAGCUUGGUCCCACCCAAUCAAAAGGGCCAAAAGUUUGGGAUCUCUCACGGUAUGUAUUGAAAAAAUUGAAAAAACAUCUGUACAACUAGUAUAGCUGUUUUAAUGCCUCAACACCCAUAUCGA